UGGACCGACCCGACCUAUUAUGUCUAAAACACGGAUAGGCUGACUUUGAGACCGACAUUUUAUUCUUGAAAUCGAAAUCGAAAAUAGGUCAUUUUUAAAAUGCCUUAUUUGAUAAUAACAAAACAGUUUCCACUCGAAGUCGUUGAACACAAUGGCUGCCACUACAACUGACAGCACGUUUGGGGGGGCAUGUGUAUUACAAACAGCGCUUGUUUUAAUUGUUUUAAGCCCAAUACCAAGAGCCAUAUUUUGUGUCACCGACCACUUCGUGGAACAAUUGAAAUCUACUUAUUGACAUAGAUAUUAUAAUAAUGCACUGUGCAAUGUAUAUGUUAAUUAACGUGUAUUAUUUCAGAAAAGGCUUUAUUGUAGAACACCAUCCGAAAUGGGUUCUCGAUAAACUCGAAGAAAUCGGUUUCCGCGUGGUGUCCAGCGCAUUGAAUGAAAAGAUGAUGGUGUGGACGAUGCUCCGCCCGCAAUGAAAUGAGAAGCUCAUCAACAAAUUGAUGAGUUUCAUCAAUAGAUAGAAGACUGAAUUUUGGCUUCUUGCCUUUAAUAUGCAUGCUAGUAGUAAAAUGUACAUUGCAUUGGCUAAUAUUAAAGUGUAAAGUAAAGGAUCUUUGUCACACAUUUUUAAGUAUUUUAUAGAAAAUAAAGUUCAUGAAAUGCG